GUGAGAUGCUCAUUUAAAAGCAAACGCCACAAUUCUAACUUCAUUCUGCACCUGACCGCAGGAUCAGGAUCUCUUGAAAAGUGGAACUCUUCAACUGUGAAACUAAGUGCUGAAUUGUUGAACAGGGAAACCCCCAAAUAAUUAAAACAACCUUUGAACUGUGGAAAUCUUCAGGAACCAGCUGUUGAAGUGUCGAAAAUAUGGCCUCUGCUGGGUUACGCCGUGAGAAAUACCUGCUGACCUUAGGCAUCGUCCGUGUUCUGGAUGAACGCUAUGUUGUGCUGCCGAGGCCAGGACCAGUCCUUCAAAUGAUUCUUACAAACCUGAGGAACCGUCCUCUGAGCAGCACAAACAUGGACUCUAUGUGCAAGUCCAUCCUCAGCCUGUACCACAGCCUCGUCACAGGUUCCAAGGACUUCCCUUUGAUUUCAUUCAAAGGAUUCUUCCGCUCACUCCAGACGACCACACCCUUUGUCCGUACCAAGCAGAGCAGAAGGGAGAACACCACACCGUCUCCUUUUACGGGUGCACCAGCAGGUAUGAUAGUGCGUACUGCAACCUCGAGCUCUUCUCCUCCAAAUAUGCUGACUCCAGUUCUUCCUGAGAAGACAGAGCUGGGAGCCCUAAAGGCCGACCGCAGAAACAGUGUCCGCAACAUGGAGUUUGACGGCAGUACUGUCACCAGAGUCAUCUCCACUGUGUACCGCUCUGAAAGCACUGAGCUGACCAACCGCUGGAGAGUGACCGACUACGGUGCAAACGGACACGUUCUCAUGUCGGUCCUCUGUCAGUUUACCAAAAAGUCGGCACAGUAUGCGGUGACUCCCAGGCAGGAGAAGAGGAAGGAUACAGAGGAAGAGUGCAGCAGCCAGUCUCCAUCAAAGAAACGCUUGAGACUGUGAUGGUCAUUUGCUCUGCUGCAGCUUUUGGCCUGUCCCUUAUGGAUUCAGCACCUGGCAGACCAGUCAGCGCUGGACAGAGAGGAAAACACUUGGGUGUUUUUUAAGCAUGGGAUGCCAAGAUUUCACCUUUAAAGGAAGUGAAAGACUUUGCUUCGAAACAUCACCAUGAGUUAACAAAUUGAGAAAGGAGACAAGAUAAGAAGAGACAAGAGAAAGGAGACGAGAUGAGGAGAGAAAAGAGAAAGGAGACACCAUGCACUACAAAUUCUCUCAUUAGAAAUGAUAACUAUACAUUUAUUUUAUCUUAUGUAUUUCUUCUGUUCUUCUAAAGUUAUUAACUGCAUUUCACGCUCAAUUUGUCUUUUAGAAAAAAAGAGGAGUCCAGAUGAGACAAGGAAAGAAGACAGCAUACAUUGUGAACCCUCUCAUUUAAAAAAGAUUAAAGAGAGGAGAGGAAACAACAUGAGAAAGGAACAAGAAAAUGACCAGGCGAGACAAGAGGCGAGGAGACAGGACAGUAGAGGAGAGAAGAGAGGAAACAGCAUGCACUCUAAUAAACACAUUUGUCAUGUUUGGUAGUUACAUUGCAGCAUGGACAAGUUAAGAUUGAGUAAUGUCCAAUGCCGACACAUGCCGACUCAAGUGAGGAAGUUUAUGUGUGGAUUCCACACUCAGAAGGCUCCAGAGCCUCAGACAGAUGCUCAAGCUUCAGUGCCUGUCCUCAGUCCCAUAGCAGUGUGUGCCACUGUGUCAACUGCUGACUCCAGGACAGAGACACUUGAAGCUUCAACAACUCAGCUGCCCUGUUUGUGGUCAGAGGGCUUGCCACCUGAAGACCACAAAUGGAUUGUGAAGACCCUAUGGGGCCCAAGGGAAAACUAGAUCUUCAAGACAACCUGAAACUCUGAAUUAUGCAAAACAUUCUUACUGAUAUAUCUGUCUAUGACCAUGGUACGCGUGACAUCCGGGUGAUCCGGCUUCUGCGGGAGAGAGGCCUGGGUAACAGCCCAACAUGCAUUUUAAAGCAGCUGAGGGAGAACUACACAGAGGAGUGGCUACAUCACGUAGCAAGCUGCGGAUGGCCGCCCACCAUUGAGUCUGGUUCUGUCCAUAGUUUCUGACUCUGCCAAGUGGCUCCUCUCUGUUUAGCCAGGACAUUUUAACAAGGCUGGAAGAUAUCAAGGCCACAAUAACAUCGACCUAUGGCACCAUUCUAAAAAUGGAUUCGCCAAAAAGAUCACCAAGAAGCUUGCCGGAACAGCCAAGGGGACAGCACUCUGGCUUACCUCUGUGGAAAAUGAGUAUGGUCAGAUUCUCAUCAGUGUGCUGAUCGCUCACGAGGGAGCUGGCCUGGACAUGAUGGCAGCAGACCUGGUAAAAAGAUACCAGCAGGCCGGUGUGGAUCCCCCUGUUGCCUUAUAUGUGGACUGUGGCUGCUGUACUGAGGCAGGGGAGACCAAGCUGAAGGCCAGAUUCAGCAGGUGGCUACACCUCACUAUCAGGCUGGACAUGUGGCACUUCAGACUUGGCUUGCAACAGAUGCUCAUCAGCUGUACCCAAUAUUUAUGUCACGCCUAUCAGCGUGCAUAUUGAGUGGGAUGCAGCUGAUUUAGCUCUGUUGCGCGAAGCAAAAAACAGCAACUUCAAUUCCAGGACCUGUCUUCACUUACUAAUGGCGACUUCAAUAAACAUCUAUUAAGGAAGGAGCUGGCUCUCCAUUACUGGAGGUGACCCAUGGUGAGGAGACCACCACUCAGCUGCUGGAGGAGCUGCUGCAGGGGCUCAUGGGGACCAGUGGCAACGACUCUCUUGGAGUUCCCCUGUUUGAUAGGGAGAGGAUGGAGCAUAUCUGGUGUGUCCAGAGAAAGCAUGUCAACUGAAUUCAAGACCUGCUCUAUACACCAAGACAGGGAAGCUGUCGGUGUGUGGUUACCCAUGUACAGAUGUGCCAGAGGCUCUACAUCUUUAGAGUCUUUUCAUUUACACCUAAACCACUUCAUACCAGGGACCAGUGCCAACAGCCUGAAUUUUCAGGUAUACCUGCUGGAAGAACUGCAUAGGUGGAACCAGGACCGUGGUAGUGCUUCCCUGUCUACUGGACCAUCUGCUUUACACAGCUACUCGGGUGACCUGCUUCACUGUGUAAACAAAAAUUACAAGAAGCUGUUCGGCAGGAAGGUGGUACCAGAGUUCUGUCCACCCUCACGUUACACUGGAGAGCUCAUAGGCAUAGUAUCUAUUCCGGCAGACUGGUCAGGCACUGCAGAACAUGCACCCUGAUUCGGAGGAGACUGCUCAGUUAAUUGAAGAGCAUGAUGUGGAGGAUGACGUGGAGGAAGAUGAGGGCUUCUCUGACAUCACAGAUGACCCCACAGUGCUGGACCUGGAGAUUCUUCAGGUUCCAGCCUCUAUAAUGAAGUACUGUAGUGUUGCAGAGAUGCCCUAGCCUACAAAUCUUGUUCUCCAGAUUUCUGGUUCCCGGCACAUCCUCCCUGGCUCCCUGCACAUCCACCCUGGCUCCUGGCACAUCUGCAAUGAGCUCUGGUGCAUCAAUUCUGCCCUCUAGUUCGUCCUCUGAGGCUGGAGUUGAUACAAGCUGAAGAUGAAGAUAUGGUGUCAGUGUGAUCAAUUUAGAAUAUGCUGUUGAUGACCAAAAUGUUCCUGGAUAUCAGCACGUGGACAGACUUGCUGAGUACUUGGUGGAGCUUCGGGAUCAGACCUCUCUCUGUCUCAGCAACCAGCAGGCGAGCACAGUAAUAGCACUGUGGGAGAGCCUGGAUGAAGGUGACAAGCAGCGGGGGGUUUAUGCAGCACGACAUCGGGACAGACUUUUA